GAAGGUGUAUCCAUCCAUCUUCUUCUAAAUGCCCUAUUAAUCAUGUUUGGAUAUCAUUAUGAAAUUGUUGCUAAAAUUUCAAAAGCGAUUACUAAAGGUGUAUCCAAACGCCUUCGAGGAUACCAGACAGAAAAGAGGUGAAAAUUGAUUAUUGAUGUUAAGGUCAGCGAAGGUCGGUGGGCAAACACUUUCCUACCCCUUGUAUUAAAGAUUCCGAUGAUCAAUCAAAAAAAAAUUAAAAAUAAAAAAACCCGACGACCCUUCAGGGAGUUUAGAAAAUAGGAUUGGCUUAAGAUUAAAACGUCAAAGGUGGUGUUUUGUGUCUGUCUGCAUCUUUCUCCCAAGAAAUACAUUCCUGGGCGCUCUGGUUUUCUUCCCUUACGUUUCUGAUUUCACUAUGGAGGACAAAACACAACUAAAACCAGCCAAUGAUUCUCCUUCGUUGCAUGAAGUCCAAACACUAGACGAUUCUUCUGAUGAAGGCGAGGAAAUCAAUGAAUCCUUUGUUUGUUGCAUUUGUCUAGAGCUGCUCCACAAGCCGAUUGUACUUGCUUGCGGCCACGUUUCUUGUUUCUGGUGUGUUCAUCAUGCGAUGGAUUUUGGGCGAGAGUCUCAUUGUCCGAUUUGUCGACGUGAAUAUAACCAUUUUCCCAGUAUCUGUGAGCUGCUUCACUUCUUGUUGCUGAAGAUGUACCGGGAAACCUACAGGAGAAGGGAGAUGCAAUUGUUAGAAGUAGAAAAGAUGCGGGGUGUAUUCUCGCCGCAGCUUGAUCAGAGUAGCUCAUGUCUUGAUUCUGAACCAAAAGCUCCACAUCCUCCUCCUAAUUCUAUCAGUUGUUCUCAGUCCAUCUCGUGUCAUGAAACCAAUUCCUCAGUUAAAACCUACCCUGCUCCCAUAGGGAACUCCCCUGAAAAGUGUGCAGAAAAUUCUGUCAGAACAAAGAAUGUAAAUACUGAAGAGAACACUUAUCUGAAUUACGAAGCAUGCCAGCGAGUUUCCAUCAAUGACGCACUUUGCAUUACAUGCAAGCAAAUGCUCUUGCAACCCGUAAUUCUUAAUUGUGGCCAUGCAUAUUGUGAAUCUUGUUUAGAAAUACCAGAGCAUGAGGCUCUUAGUUGUCAACUUUGUCAAUUUCCGCAUCCGAAUGGAUUCCCGAAAGUGUGUUUAGUGCUCGAUAAUUUCUUGGAGACAGAAUUCCCCCAAGAGUAUGCGCGGAGAAGAGAGGAUGUUCAGCACAAACUAGUCCGUUCCCAGCAGGGGACUGCGGCAUCAGCCUGCACAACAUCCUCUAAGAAAGAUGGGCCCCUUUCAUCUACUAAACUUAGUCAAUAUUACUCAGAAUGGAUGCGUGGCGCUGGACCAGAUAUUCAUUUUGCAGCUGGUUGUGAUUAUUGUGGGGUGGAGUGUCCGAGUCCCAGAUGGAGAGUCCUUCAGCGUAAUAGCAACAGCGUGCGAUAUGUCCAAUCGUUGGCGAAAGAACAUUGCAAACACAAGAAAUCUGUCGUUAAAACAAUCUUAUGCCACAGGUAUAAUCCUUUUCUUUACUACUGCUACUACAAGCUCACCGACAUCAUUAGCAAACAAUAUUGCAAACACAAGAAAUCGAAUUAUUACAGGCAAGCAAGCAGGCAGAUUCUAGUCUUUUUAAUUACCACUGCCAGCACCACCACCGGCUCCAAAUCCUCCUCCAAAACCUGCACCUCCACCAGCUCCACCGCCACCACCGCCUCCUCCUCCUCCACCGCCUCCGCCCCCGCCCCCGCCCCCACCCCCAAGACCUAAACCAGCUCCAGCACCGAAGCCUCCACCAGCGCCAAAACCUGCACCGCCUCCUACACCUCCUCCACCCCCACCAAAUCCACUCCACCACCAGCCCCACCACCAAUUCCUCCACCGGCACCAAUGCCACCUCCUGCUCCAAACCCUCCACCUGCUCCACCACCUACUCCUCCGCCUCCACCAGCACCGCCUCCUCCUCCCAAUCCCCCACCGCCACCAAUUCCACCACCAGCACCAGCUCCACCACCGACACCACCUCCUGCUCCAAUACCACCGCCAGCACCACCUCCUCCUCCUAGUCCACCGACUCCACCGCCGGCGCCUGCACCACCACCUACACCCACCAGCUCCAGCACCCCCACCAAUCCCACCUCCAACUCCACCCCCACCCCCUAGUCCACCACCUCCACCGAUUCCACCUCCGGCGCCUGCACCACCACCAGAUCCAGCACCUCCUAAUCCACCGCCUCCACCAAUUCCACCACCUAUACCUCCACCAGCUCCAACACCACCUCCAGCACCACCUCCUAAUCCACCACCAGCGGCUGCCCCACCACCUAUACCUCCGCCAGCUCCAGCUCCCCCACCAACACCACCUCCGACUCCACCCCCACCUCCUAGUCCACCACCAGCACCUCCACCUAAUCCUCCGCCACUACCAAUUCCACCUCCAGCACCACCCCCAACUCCACCACCUCCACCAAUUCCACCGCCUCCACCUAAUCCUCCGCCACCAGCAGCACCACCUCCGAAUCCACCACCAGCACCUCCACCAAGACCACCCCCACCACCAAGUCCUCCACCAUGUCUAAACCCCUUGCUAUAAAUACCAUGUCCUAAACCUCCACCACCACCCAGUCCACCGCGACGUCCCAAGAAAUGCUUAUCAUCAUCAGUAACAAAUCGAUCAGCAUUAACAAUAGUAAUCAGCAACAAAACACCAAGAAGAACAACUGAAAACAUAAAUGAUGCAUUACAACUAUGACUCCUACUCUUCUUCUUCAAAAUUCCACCAAAUGAACUAGCACCCAUCUUAAUCUCAACCUUGUAAUUCCAGCAGCAAUUGCUUACAACAUAUAUAUCUGCACUCACCAACAAAAUCAAUCCUCUAAAUUUAAUAUUCUUCAAUACUACCUAGUACUUGAAAGAUAGAAGAAAAAUAAGGUUUGAGACAAGCUCACUUUGAACUGCAAUGGUGUUGGGUCAUUGGAGUAUUUAUACUGAAACUAAGAAGGUCAACACGGAGAUGAACAUUUAUUACACAGGUUCAAAAUUACGCACCAUCCAACCACCUCACGAUGAGUACAAUGAAUACUAGCGCAGUGUAGCUGCAGCAUGUUAAAAAAAUGGAAAGAAAAAAAAGUCUUUGCUCAGAGAUAUAUCAGUACUCUCUGGCCUGAGUAAUUUCCCUCCUAUAGUGAUCAUCCAUACUUGGAAAUGCCGCGUAUUUCAGUAGGUAGAGUUAAAUAAAUUGCUAGUGGACUUAACUUCCCAACUGCAUUCGUAGCUCAGGCAUCAGACCUCUAUUAAUUACCUCAGCUGUAGCCUGUAAGGUAAGGAGAUAUAUAGUGGACACAGUUGAAGUUCUAAAUGCAUGUUAGAGUUGGUGACUGUUUCUCUUUCUGUGUGGGAAAAAAUGAAAGAAAAGAAAAAGGAACAACUAUCAUCCGUCCCAAUGUUAGAAAGAAUUGAUGGCCUAGUUGUUCUAGAUGGAUGUUUGAUGGGUUUUUCUCUUGGGAAUAUUUGAACAUGAAGUGAGAGUAAUGAUCUGGGGCCAAAAGGGCUAUCCAUGCAGUGGUGCAUGCAUGGGGAGCUAGUUAUUAAAUUCUAGGACCAAGUGGGAUUUGAAUUUGGUUUCUCGAGUGCUACUGCAUGCAUGCAUACCUACUCAAAGUUCUAUCAAGUUGAUUACUGCUUUCUUAGCACACUGGUUUGGAGAUGUCCUGAUAGAUGGUUGAAGUAAUAUGCCACCUUCAUUCAAUGCAGCUUAUUGAUUGUUAAGAAGUGUUCUACAACUGUGACAGUUAAGAUUACAUAUUGCAUGUGCAUCUAUUUAUGUAUACUACUGGUAUAUGACCCGUGCCGUAGUUUGAUUGUUGUCAGUAAUAAGUAAUUGUUGAAGUUUUUCUAUAAAAUCUUAUAUAUUUCUCAGGUCGAACUUGCAAUUGAACGUGAGGAUGAUUAUUGAAAUUAAUGUUAUCUAAAUUGCGUCAUUGAGGGUUAAUUUUUUUUAUAGUCA